rnacentral:misc_RNA from 1 species
GAUGAAGAACGCAGCGAAAUGCGAUAAGUAAUGUGAAUUGCAGAAUUCAGUGAAUCAUCGAAUCUUUGAACGCACAUUGCGCCCGCCAGUAUUCUGGCGGGCAUGCCUGUUCGAGCGUCAUUUCAACCCUCAAGCCCAGCUUGGUGUUGGGGAUCGGCACAGGCGCCCUCGGGCGCCCGCCGUCCCCUAAAUCUAGUGGCGGUCCCGCUGCAGCCUCCUCUGCGUGGUAGUUUUCUCCUCGCAAGGGCAGCUCGGUGGCGACCUCGCCGUAAAACCCCCAACUUCUGAAAGGUUGACCUCGUAUCAGGUAGGAAUACCCGCUGAACUUAAGCAUAUCAAUAAGCGGAGGA